CGGACGGGUGAGUAAUGUCUGGGAAACUGCCUGAUGGAGGGGGAUAACUACUGGAAACGGUAGCUAAUACCGCAUAACGUCGCAAGACCAAAGAGGGGACCUUCGGGCCUCUUGCCAUCAGAUGUGCCCAGAUGGGAUUAGCUUGUUGGUGGGGUAACGGCUCACCAAGGCGACGAUCCCUAGCUGGUCUGAGAGGAUGACCAGCCACACUGGAACUGAGACACGGUCCAG
rnacentral:rRNA from 1 species